rnacentral:rRNA from 1 species
CCUACGGGGGGCUGCAGUAAGGAAUAUUGGUCAAUGGGCGCAAGCCUGAACCAGCCAUGCCGCGUGAAGGAUGACGGCCCUAUGGGUUGUAAACUUCUUUUGUACGGGAAAAAACCACCGGUCGUGUAUCGGUGCUGAUGGUACCGUAAGAAUAAGCAUCGGCUAACUCCGUGCCAGCAGCCGCGGUAAUACGGAGGAUGCAAGCGUUAUCCGGAUUCAUUGGGUUUAAAGGGUGCGCAGGCGGAGUGAUAAGUCAGUGGUGAAAGCCUACAGCUUAACUGUAGAACUGCCAUUGAUACUGUCAUUCUUGAGUAUUGUUGAGGUAGGCGGAAUGUGUCAUGUAGCGGUGAAAUGCUUAGAUAUGACACAGAACACCGAUCGCGAAGGCAGCUUACCAAGCAAUAACUGACGCUCAUGCACGAAAGCGUGGGGAUCAAACAGGAUUAGAUACCCCAGUAGUC